GGGUAGAGUAAUGCGUGACCAACCUGCCCCAUGCUCCAGAAUAGCUCUUGGAAACGGGUGGUAAUGCUGGAUGCUCCAACUUGACGCAUGUCUUGUUGGGAAAGUGUUUAGUGGCAUGGGAUGGGGUCGCGUCCUAUCAGCUUGUAGGCGGGGUAAUGGCCCACCUAGGCUUCGACGGGUAGCCGGCCUGAGAGGGCGGACGGCCACAUUGGGACUGAGAUACGGCCCAGACUCCUACGGGAGGCAGCAGU
rnacentral:rRNA from 1 species